AGUCGAGUGCGCGUCUGUAGCAAUACAGAUGGCGCACGGCGCACGGGUGCGUAACACGUGGGCAAUCUGCCCUUCGAUGGGGAAUAUCUUCGGGAAACCGAAGCGAAUUCCGCAUAACAUUCCUUGGACUUCGGUUUGGGGACUCAAAGCCGUAAGGCGUCGAAGGAGGAGCCCGCGCACGAUUAGCUAGUUGGUAGGGUAACGGCCUACCAAGGCUUUGAUCGUUAGCUGGUCUGAGAGGAUGGCCAGCCACACUGGAACUGAGACACGGUCCAGACUCCUACGGGAGGCAGCAGUGGGGAAUCUUGCACAAUGGGCGAAAGCCUGAUGCAGCGACGCCGCGUGGGGGAUGAAGCAUCUCGGUGUGUAAACCCCUUUCGACCCGGAAGAAUGCCUCGCAAGAGGACUGACGGUACGGGUAUAAGAAGCCCCGGCUAACUACGUGCCAGCAGCCGCGGUAAGACGUAGGGGGCCAGCGUUGUUCGGAAUUACUGGGUGUAAAGGGUUCGUAGGCGGUGCGGCAAGUUGGGAGUGAAAUCUCUGGGCUCAACCCAGAGGCUGCUUCCAAAACUGCUGUGCUUGAGUGUGGGAGAGGCGCGUGGAAUUGCAGGUGUAGCGGUGAAAUGCGUAGAUAUCUGCAGGAACACCCGUGGCGAAAGCGGCGCGCUGGACCACUACUGACGCUGAGGAACGAAAGCUAGGGGAGCAAACAGGAUUAGAUACCCUGGUAGUCCUAGC
rnacentral:rRNA from 1 species